CAAAGACCCCGGCAACCCAAUCGUGAGAUUGGUUCGCAAAGCCAUGGGCCUCACGCGAGGUCGCCAGGCCGCCAAC
rnacentral:ncRNA from 1 species